rnacentral:rRNA from 1 species
UACGAAGGGGGCGGGCGUUGUUCGGAAUUACUGGGCGUAAAGGGCGCGCAGGCGGCUCUGAAAGUCAGAUGUGAAAGCCCCCGGGCUUAACCUGGGAAUUGCAUUUGAUACUCUGGAGCUUGAGUGUGGGAGAGGAGAGUGGAAUUCCCAGUGUAGAGGUGAAAUUCGUAGAUAUUGGGAAGAACACCGGUGGCGAAGGCGGCUCUCUGGACCACAACUGACGCUGAGGCGCGAAAGCGUGGGGAGCAAACAGG